UGGGGGAAUAUUGGACAAUGGGGGAAACCCGUGAUCCAGCGACGCCGCGUGAGUGAAGAAGUAUUUCGGUAUGUAAAGCUCUAUCAGCAGGGAAGAUAAUGACGGUACCUGACUAAGAAGCACCGGCUAAAUACGUGCCAGCAGCCGCGGUAAUACGUAUGGUGCAAGCGUUAUCCGGAUUUACUGGGUGUAAAGGGAGCGCAGGCGGCGCGCCAAGUCAGCGGUCAAAGUUCCGGGCUCAACCCGGUGUCGCCGUUGAAACUGGCGUGCUCGAGUGCGUGCGAGGAAGGCGGAAUGCGUUGUGUAGCGGUGAAAUGCAUAGAUAUGACGCAGAACUCCGAUUGCGAAGGCAGCUUUCCAGCGCGCUACUGACGCUGAGGCACGAAAGCGUGGGGAUCGAACAGGAUUAGAUACCCUGGUA
rnacentral:rRNA from 1 species